rnacentral:rRNA from 1 species
GUAGGGUGCAAGCGUUAAUCGGAAUUACUGGGCGUAAAGCGUGCGCAGGCGGUUUUGUAAGACAGUGGUGAAAUCCCCGGGCUCAACCUGGGAACUGCCAUUGUGACUGCAAGGCUGGAGUGCGGCAGAGGGGGAUGGAAUUCCGCGUGUAGCAGUGAAAUGCGUAGAUAUGCGGAGGAACACCGAUGGCGAAGGCAAUCCCCUGGGCCUGCACUGACGCUCAUGCACGAAAGCAUGGGGAGCAAACAGGAUUAGAUACCCUGGUAGUCCCACGCCCCUAAACGAUGUCAACUGGUUGUUGGGAAUUUAUUUUCUCAGUAACGAAGCUAACGCGUGAAGUUGACCGCCUGGGAGUACGGCCGCAAGGUUA